GCGGGUAUAGCUCAACUGGGAGAGCGUCAAGCUGAAGUCAAAACUUCACUGUCUUAUCUGAAGGUCAUGUGUUCCAUCCACAUUAGCCGCA